CCCAGAAAUGGCCAAAUCCUGCAUUCUGAAAGUCUAAAAUUGACAGUUAUAUUUAUGUAUAUUUCACUGUAAAUUCUUUAUUGGGGCCCCUUUAACUGGGGCCCCAGAGCAAAUUGCCCCCUUCACCUCUCUGGGCGGCUUUGACUGCACCUGCAGUUACGACUAUCUAAGACAGCAUAGUUUCAUAAUCACAUGCUUGUAGAAAAGAAAUAUUUUCGCCUUGGCAAAUGAAAGAUGGCUUAGACGUGAAAAACCUCUGGAGAAGUUCCAGUGGCAUGUACCAACAGAAAAUGCUUUAAUCUAGCCUUUCUAAAAAGGCAUUUCCUGCAAUGUGCGGAACAUUCUAUAGAAUUCCGACGAUUAUGCGCAAAUUACAAAAAGCCAAGUAUCAUUCACUCCAUCGACAAGGCUCAUAAAGAGAUUUCUGGUGAGAGAAUUUGUUGAUCUGAUGAACCUUAAUUAGGUAUAAUAGUGCGGACGUUCGAUAAUUUGGCAGUUAUCAUUUCAAAUCCAUUCAAAUUAUUCUCAUUCAAAAUGUUUAUUUUUAGUUCACUUUUUCUGCUCAUUUCCUCACUUUCUUUUAAUUAACAACUUAUGACAGCAAAU